rnacentral:rRNA from 1 species
GACGAACGCUGGCGGCGUGCUUAACACAUGCAAGUCGAACGAUGAAACCUAGCUUGCUAGGUCGAUUAGUGGCGAACGGGUGAGUAACACGUGACUAACCUGCCCCUUUCUCUGGGAUAACGCUCCGAAAGGAGUGCUAAUACCGGAUACUCACAUCGAGGCACAUGCCUUGGUGUGGAAAGUUUUUCGGAAAGGGAUGGAGUCGCGGCCUAUCAGCUUGUUGGUGAGGAAACGGCUCACCAAGGCGACGACGGGUAGCCGGCCUGAGAGGGCGACCGGCCACACUGGGACUGAGACACGGCCCAGACUCCUACGGGAGGCAGCAGUGGGGAAUAUUGCACAAUGGGCGCAAGCCUGAUGAGGCGACGCCGCGUGAGGGAUGAAGGUCUUCGGAUUGUAAACCUCUUUCAGUAGGGACGAAGCGAAAGUGACGGUACCUAAAGAAGAAGCACCGGCUAACUACGUGCCAGCCGCCGCCGUAA